rnacentral:rRNA from 1 species
AGGGAAUCUUCCGCAAUGGACGAAAGUCUGACGGAGCAACGCCGCGUGAGUGAUGAAGGCCUUCGGGUCGUAAAACUCUGUUGUUAGGGAAGAACAAGUACCGGAGUAACUGCCGGUACCUUGACGGUACCUAACCAGAAAGCCACGGCUAACUACGUGCCAGCAGCCGCGGUAAUACGUAGGUGGCAAGCGUUGUCCGGAAUUAUUGGGCGUAAAGCGCGCGCAGGCGGUCCUUUAAGUCUGAUGUGAAAGCCCACGGCUCAACCGUGGAGGGUCAUUGGAAACUGGGGGACUUGAGUGCAGAAGAGGAAAGCGGAAUUCCACGUGUAGCGGUGAAAUGCGUAGAGAUGUGGAGGAACACCAGUGGCGAAGGCGGCUUUCUGGUCUGUAACUGACGCUGAGGCGCGAAAGCGUGGGGAGCAAAC